UACGGAGGAUGCAAGCGUUAUCCGGAUUUAUUGGGUUUAAAGGGUACGUAGGUGGCCUGAUAAGUCAGUGGUGAAAACCUGUCGCUUAACGAUAGGCGUGCCAUUGAUACUGUUGGGCUUGAGUACAGAUGAGGUAAGCGGAAUGUGUAGUGUAGCGGUGAAAUGCAUAGAUAUUACACAGAACUCCGAUUGCGAAGGCAGCUUACUAAACUGACACUGACGCUGAGGUACGAAAGCGUGGGUAGCGAACAGG
rnacentral:rRNA from 1 species